rnacentral:rRNA from 1 species
GACGAACGCUGGCGGCGUGCUUAACACAUGCAAGUCGAACGGUAAGGCCCUUCGGGGUACACGAGUGGCGAACGGGUGAGUCACACGUGGGUAAUCUGCCCUGCACUUCGGGAUAAGCCUGGGAAACUGGGUCUAAUACCGGAUAUUCAGUUCCUGCCGCAUGGUGGGGGUUGGAAAGUUUUUCGGUGCAGGAUGAGCCCGCGGCCUAUCAGCUUGUUGGUGGGGUAAUGGCCUACCAAGGCGACGACGGGUAGCCGGCCUGAGAGGGUGAUCGGCCACACUGGGACUGAGACACGGCCCAGACUCCUACGGGAGGCAGCAGUGGGGAAUAUUGCACAAUGGGCGAAAGCCUGAUGCAGCGACGCCGCGUGAGGGAUGACGGUCUUCGGAUUGUAAACCCCUUUCAGUAGGGACGAAGCGCAAGUGACGGUACCUGCAGAAGAAGCACCGGCCAACUACGUG